ensembl:lncRNA
GCAGCUGGUAGGUGUUUACUCAUUGUAGUGUAUAUAUUACUUUGCUUGAUGGUAAACAGCUAUUGUUUGUAGGUCGUAGCUGUAGAAGCCUCCUCUGAGCCAUUCUGCUUACGUUUUAUGACACGGCUUACUUGGUAUGUAAUCAACUUCUGUUACGCUCUCUGCCUUCUGUUGUUCUUUUAUAGUAAUUAUUUAUUAUGCUUUGCAGGAAGUGUGGGCCUGAGUUUUGCGCCAAGCUACGUGAACUGAAGUGCUGCUGCUUUGCUUUGCUUUGCUGUGAUGCUUUGCUUUGUUUUACUUUAUUUUUACUGUCUGUUCCGGCUGCGAAGUUUCUUUGCUGCUGCCAGCCUUUAAAGUGGACGUCGGCGUGAACAACGGCCAUAUGCAUGCCACGCGGGUCGGCUGGCGCGCAUACUGAUUGACUGACUGGAUAAUUAACUUAUAGCCGUGCAGACGGCAAGUUGGAGCAAUACGGCGAUUCCGUUUGCUCCAUAUUUUAGAGUUUUACCCAGAUUGUAUGUUGUUUUACUGUUGUUUGAUUUGUAGUUUGGAUUUUUGUUACGCCACUGGUGGGAGGCCCUUUUUCUAGCUGUAGAUCACCAGUGUGGUCCUGCAGUUGGGUUAUCCCCCAGCGCUGCAUAUUAGUUUUGUUGUAAUAUAUUAAAUUUUCUUUGUUUCUUUUAUUCAGAUGCGGAGUGCCGACGUGGAGGAGACCAGGGUGCCUUGGUGGUGGGAUCCUCUGAGUGUACACACCUGCCUUGUUUAAUUUAUAGUGUGAGUGUGUGAUAGUGUGCUGCACUUGUGUCUUGGUGUAUUUUCUUCUUUUUUUGAGUUUGUGUGUGGCAUCCCUGCCCUCCACUGGAUAAAAGCAAAGCAGCAGCUACUUUGGUGUGGGAUUCCACAGCUGUGUUACAGAGAUGGAGGAAGAGUUACAGGAACUCAGGGACUUGAUCGUGCAGCUGAAAGCAGACAAUGAGAGGCUGCGUCAGGAGAGGGCUGUUGGGUCAGAUGCGGAGUGCCGACGUGGAGGAGACCAGGGUGCCUUGGUGGUGGGAUCCUCUGAGUGUACACACCUGCCUUGUUUAAUUUAUAGUGCCGCACAAGGGCUCCUUGCUGAGGUGUACCUGCCACGGCUAUCAAUAGAGUGAGUCGUCAUGGGCUAGCUAAUGCAGCCCACUCCCACUGAGGUAAUCCUUCAGAGGCAUCCCACGGCCUGAGAGAAAUGUCAGAGCGCUGCUGUGAGGAUCAGUCUGAACUUGCAUACAGAGAUAGAGAUAUAUCUUAUUUAAGCCUGAUUUAAUUUGGGCUGCUUGGCAAUGGUGAGGGAAAGUGUUGUGUGCAGAACAGAGGGUGGGAGCUGGGGAUGCGAAAAGUCUGUCUUUAUUUAGAGAAACUGGCUUUGGUACAACACAGGCCAGAUGCACGGCAAAGUGAACUGACAGAUGUAGUGGUCACAGAUAUUUCUCUGCUCAGAUUACCACCUGUACUAGUUCGACCAUAUGAAUAUUUAGUGAAUGCUGAAGUGCCUUCUUUAGUACGCCUUCCACAAACAACUGUAUUCUGCCACACUGGAUUUCUGGCACAAUUUGAAAGCGUAACAUUGAUAAUUCAUUUCUCAUACAGAGAGGGAGAAGCUCAAAACUUAUUAAUAAAACUUUGUGAAACAUGUGGUUUCACAGUUGUGUUCGGCUCCCUGCUGGGACCACUCAGAGAGGUUCCACUGGAUACCGUGGGUUUAUCUAAAGUCUUCUAACAAGUGCUACAAAUGGCUAACAAAGGUUACUGAUAACACUAAUCAGAACAAAUUCUUCUCAUUUAUUUCUUUGUUUCUUAUAUUUUAAUUGAUUUGCAAUCAAUCUGGAAAUUAAAUUGAUGAUUAAAUUAAACUUAAACUUGUGGUAGUUAAUUUGUGAGCUCACUCUAAAUCUCCUUGGUCAUGAAUUCAAGAAAGCACACAAAUCGGUGACCAUCUGCCAAAACCUGACAUGCUUCUGUAUCAAUAAGAGAAUCAAAAAGGAAUCAAAUUGAUAAGUGAUAUCGAUAAUGUAAACGGAAUCACUAAAUUCUUAUCGAUUCCCAUCUGUAGAUGUAAUCAACUCAAAGUUGAAUUGACUCCUAGCUGAAACCGUCUGGAUGCAAGUCACCUUGGACCAUUGUUUUAUACUAUCUUUAAAAAUGGCAUGCUACUCAUCAUUAAUAAGGCUACUAUUUCUAUGUAUGCAGAUGAUUCAGUAAUAUGUAUGGCAGCUAAUAAUGAAAAGAGUUAAAUGUAGCUCUAUAUUCUGAGUUACAAUCAGUAUAAAUGUAUAAAGAACAAUAAAUUAAUUUCUAAUGUGUCUCAGACAAAUAGCAUGACAUUUGGUUCUAACCAGGCUAUUAGAAAAAAUCUGAUUUGUAAGGUUUCCACUAAUGUGCCUGUUGAUCAAGUCCAUGAGACCAAGUUUCCAGGUGUAAUUUUAGAGAGUAAACUAUCCUGGACAGAACAUACUAAUGAAAUUGUUGUUAAAAGUUGUUAAAACAUGAAAUGGUAUCUCUGUAGGUAAAAGAUAUGCAAAUGUUUUUGUCACCAAAAUUGAUCAAGCAGUUAAUCCAGGCAUUGCUCUUGUCUCAUCUUAAUUAUUGUCCAGUGGUACAAUGGACCAGAUUAAGAAACUAACAAAUCUUGUAACAAUGCAUUCAUGUCUUAACUGGUUAACAGCAAAACAUUCAUGACUUUACCCUUUACUUGUAUUUUUCAGAAAUAUUAUUGUUACAAAGAUUUGAAUUAUUUUUUUAUAAAACUAGUAUUUCAGUGUAGCUGGACAUUAAUAUUCUAACAGACAGGGAAUAAUUUAUAUUAUCCUCCUUAGCAAGAAGCAGUUUAGUUAAAAGAGCAGUUUUAUACAUUGGUUUGAAGGAAUGUAAAUUUUAUGUAAAUGUUUUGUUAUCAAUGAGCAUAAGCCUGAUAUGGGGCAAAAUUUGUGUUGCAAGAAGCUGUUUUUGUUGCCUGCAUGUGUGUUAUUGUGUGAUGAUGUUGUGUGUGUUUUAUAGUGCACUGUCACGUUUUAAAGAUUUGUGACCCCAGGAAGAAUAGCUGUUGCAUUACUGCAUAUUUGGGCUACAUGCUCAAUAUCCAGUUGAAUCUGAGAACAAAAAUGCUUAAAAGUUUGCUGAGUUUGCCCACAAAAAAGGGUUUGAAGCUUUUUCUCCUGGAUGUUUGUACUUCUACCACCAUCUUUACUGUUGCAAAAUGUUCCCAACUGUUUAAAUAUUUCCAUCUGGACCGCACAACAUCAUAAUGUCCGUUAAACACGCAACACGAAAUAUUGACUGAUAACAAGCUUAACAUAAACCAAUAUUCCUUCUGAAUGGAAUAUUUAAUUUGGAAUAUUUCUUGGCUUCUUUUUGAUGAAAUUUUGCCUCUCAGUUCCCGUACCAUUGGGCACCGUGGCAAUCAUUAAAUAUGCAUUACUAAUAUUGAAAAUAGCCGUCUGUUGUAUGUGAUGCAAGCAGUUUUUGGAGCAGAAUUGGGAGGUGUUGUUCUGUUUCUGAAGUUUUCCAGCUCACUUCUCUAAUCCAUACUGACAGAGGAAGCUCUACAGGAAGGCAGUACAACAGGGGCUCAGCUUCCACUAGUCUGUACUCUGCUGGGAGAGCAAGGUUCUUCCUUCAUACGUGGGAUGUAUUUUAGCAUGCCUAAAUAAAGAACAGUUCUUUCUUGCUGAAUGAAUAAAUCAAUGAAAUUAAUUCUGCUUUCAGUAGAAACACUUCCCUCAGUGAUAUCAAGGUCCUUGAGCCUUGCUUUGAUUAUUUCCAUCCAUUUUGGAUGCUAUAUUUUUUUUACGUCCUUGAUAAUGUAGUGUUAACGCUCCAAGGCCACAAAUAGCUUGAUCCAUCUAGGUCCCCUGUCCUCUUAAUGAAAGUGCAAAGACACUCGCCCUCUAUACUGAUGCCUCUUCCUGGCAGAUGGCUUGAUAGGCUCGCGCACAAGUCUGCCAAGAUGAAACGAUGCCUCAAUGCAAACAAUACUCACAAUAAGCCCUUUAAUAGCAUUUUCCCCCACUGCCAUAGUAACAGUCCUGUGUAAUAACUACUGAUACAGUAGAGUGAGCAGGAGGAGAUGAAGAAAUUUUCAGCAAAACAAAGAGACCCUGUCGGCUGAUGCAGUCAUCUGCAGGAGAGAGGAUGGGUCAAUAACAGACGCAGGGAUGAAUUGUUGGCCCUGUUGAGUGGAUCUGAGAUAGGGAUGUGCGUUCUCUGUGAAGGAAACAUAUUCCAGGGCAUAUCCAACAAAAAAUACUAUCUGCUUCACACAGAGAGUAUUGUUUUGGCGAUGAAAAGAAUCCAGCUGGCAAGCUCUGCCACGUUUCUCUCCUUGGAAGGAAUCGCAGUUAACAAUUUGGAGCAAGCAGCGCCUUGACUAAACAGAUAAUCAUAUUAUUGUAUUGCAUCUCCAUACAUUACGCACGCCUGCCGUAGACUGCAAGCGUGUGUAAUGUAUGUACAGCUCAGUAAAUAGAUCAAUCAGCGCACACAUCCACGGCCGCGCAGCAGGAAUGGAAAAAAAACACAACAACCUCUCCCCGUUUUUCUCACCUCACACACACUCUGGGAUAUUUGCAGUACUUUCAGACCUGUUGUCUGGGAGACCACUCCUUGUUUAGAUGUGUUGUCAAGGAAACAAAGAUGGAAAAAAAAUCUGCUCGUUGAAAUUUUUAGAGAAUCCAUCUGCUAGGUUGGAACAAGGAAAAAGUAACGCUCAGCCUAGUUGGACGAAUGCUUCCAAUAAAACAUAUCUUCCAAAGGGAAAGAGGUUUUAUUGAUUCUGCUACACUGUUAUUAAUAUAAAAAUGGAGCCGGCUUGUUGUAAAUAAGCCAGGUGGAUUCCUUUUUAUUGCAGUCCAGCGGAACCUUUUACCUAUUGAAUCGAAAAUUGCGUGGGACAAAAAUCUACCAUAUAAGUCAGGUAGCCCUCUGCAGUGUAAUUACUGCCGAGCCGGCCACCCGUCUCUGUAAUGCCGAAUAACAGGAUGUCCAAAUGCUCAUAAUCACCUAUGAUUACUGGUGAAAGGUUAAGCUGAUUCAAUCCCUCAGCCCAAUUUGCUACAAAAUCCAGGAAAAUACUACAAAG